rnacentral:rRNA from 1 species
CCUACGGGAGGCAGCAGUGGGGAAUAUUGCUCAAUGGGGGAAACCCUGAUGCAGCGACGCCGCGUGAAGGAAGAAGUUUUUCGGUAUGUAAACUUCUUUCAGCAGGGAAGAAAAUGACGGUACCUGACUAAUAAGCCCCGGCUAACUACGUGCCAGCAGCCGCGGUAAUACGUAGGGUGCAAGCGUUAUCCGGAUUUACUGGGUGUAAAGUGCGCGUAGGCGGCGAUGCAAGUCAGAUGUGAAAGCCCGGGGCUCAACUACGGGACUGCUUUUGAAACUGUAUGGCUAGAGUGUAGGAGAGGUAGGUGGAAUUCGUAGUGUAGCGGUGAAAUGCGUAGAUAUUAGGAGGAACACCAGUGGCGAAGGCGGCUUGCUGGAACGUAAAUGACGCUGAGGCUCGAAAGCGUGGGGAGCAAACAGGAUUAGAUACCCUAGUAGUC